GAGUUCAAACACGCCCUUCGAAAAUUUUGAGGGAAAAUUUUACUUCUAGAAGUUGAUAGAAAAUAAAUAGUACUAUACAAUUGAGUCCCUCUCUCAGUCUCUCUCUCUUCCCAAAGUUUCAAUUGCUGAAAUCUCUUUCCUUCUCCUUUUCUCUCGAACCAAACGAGCAUAAGUGUUGAAAGUUUUAACUUAAUUUUUCUCUGUUAUUUUCCUCCUGUUUCUGGGCAACCAAACGGACCGCCGGUAUCAGAGUCAGACGUCUUCACCUUUCGUCUCCUUCCGCAAGAACUAUGGUCCGUCAUUGUUCAGGUGUAAUUGUUGGGGUUGAGGCUGAUAGAUUUCCUCUUGUGAGAAUGUGUAAUUGCUGGGGUUGAGGCUCAUGAAUUUCAUCUUGUGAGAAUGAAGUUGCAAGUUUAAUCCUGGAGUAACAAACAACUGUACUGUGAUGACCUUGUGAGCGGGUGCAAGAGACACUAUCAGGCUACCACACUGGCGAGCUACGGGUGCACAAUCCCACAUCGCCUGGGUAGAGGAAAGGUGAAGUUCUUAUAUGUAAGUGUGUCACCUCCAAUUGGUAUGAGGCUUUUUGGGGUGAAGCCCAAGACCAAAACCGUGCGGGCUCAGGCCCAAAGCGGACAAUAUCAUACCACGUGGUGGAGUGAGUCGUUACAAAUGGUAUCAGAGCCUGACCCAGCCGGAAGUGUGCCGACGGGGACGUCGGGCCUCCAAGUGGGGUGGAUUGUGAUGACCUUGUGGGCGGGUGUGCCGUGAGCGGGUGCAAGAGACACUAUUAGGCUACCAAACUGGCGAGUUACGGGUGCAUAAUCCUACAUCGCCUGGGUAGAGGAAAGGUGAAGUUCUUAUAUGUAAGUGUGUCACCUCCAAUACCAAUGAGGCCUUUUGGGGUGAAGCCCAAGAGCAAAACCGUGCGGGCUCAGGCCCAAAGCGGACAAUAUCAUACCAUGUGGUGGAGUGGGUCAUGUACGCAUAUAUUUCUACUCUACUUAUGAGGGAUCUUAUCAGAUUCAAAUAGAAAAUAUAUAUGCCUAUACUUUUUAUUAUUAUGUUAAAGUUUGAGUUGAUUCUAGAUAAAAUACUUUGAUUGAACAUUCAAAAAAACAAUAUAAAGAAGUGGGAAUUGUACGAGGGGCAUUCCGAGAAUCAAACUCGGGACCUCUCGCACCCAAAGCGAGAAUCAUACCACUAGACCAAAUGCCCUUGAUGUUUAUGGGACUCUAAUUAAUAUCUUUAUAGGUGACAAAUGCAUCUUACUAUUUAUUUCUCUGUUAGUUUCCUCCUUGAACUACUAUGUUGAAACUGGAUGUCCUCUUCUACUUUUGCGGAAGUUGCCCAAGGAAUUUUGUUAUCUUUCUAAUGGGAGGACCCACAAAAGGUUAUUAAUGUGAGUCAUUGUGAUUAAUUAGCACCUAUAGUUUUGAUAUGAUUAGAUUUUUCUUUUUCUGAAGUGAAUAUGAUUAUAUUUCUUCUAGUUAGCAAGUUGUGAUUGAUUUUCAUAUUUUGAAUCAAUCACAUUCAUAAUUGAACAAUACUACUUCCACCUUUAUAAUUGAACAAUACUACUUCCACCUUUAUAAUUGAACAAGACCACAUCAGUAGUUGAAAUUCUUGUCAAAUAAUCCAGUUAGGAAUAGGUAUUCACCGUAUUUGUGUCGCAUCAUUUUAUAUGUUCAUAGUGCAUGCAAUGAGAUUUCAUGGAGAUAUCAUGAAUUUUUAAGAUUAUCUGAGAAUGCAAGUAUAUUGCAUUCAGAGCUGAAAUUGAAAUCUUAUAAGAAGUGGACCACUUUAUUGAAGAACUAACCUAUCUGCUAAUGAUCAGGUCACUUACCAGAAUAUGGGCUUUCUUUAGGAGCGAUUUUCAGUUUUACCUUUGGUUUAGAUAGUUUAAAUGGGUUGUGAUUUCUAUAUAAAUUAUUUUCAAGGGAAAACUAUUUAAGAAAUAAUGAUCUUGAUGAAUUAUUGAUUCGUGCAUAACAAGUAGUAAUUCAAUUAUAUAAUAAUUCUUAGUUCUAAAAGCUUAUGAUUGAUAUAAACAAUUACUUCCAUUCAGUUCAUUUUUCAACCAAUCUCUAGAAGCUCAGUGCCCCUAUUGUUGUGAAUUGUAACUAGUCUCAGGUGUGCUGUGGUGUUGGAGCAGUAUAUUUCAGAAGGAAAAGCUGAUUUAGUGAUUAAAUUGGUCAAAGUAACCCGAAAGGUGUACUCAUUGAGGGUUCAAUUGGACAAUCAAAUAAGGGCCAAUUAGUCGUCGCAACUGUGAAAUUCUAACAAAGUGUGAGAAGGCACAAUCUGAGCAGAAAAUGUGUGAGUAACCUGAAACAUUGUCGGCAAUUUUGCAAGGAAAGAUAUGUUGAUGCAAGAUUCUGCACAACCCGGAACGACACCGCUUCCUGCAAAGAAUGGCCCUUGAUGGCACCGGUGUGGUGCUUGCCAAGAGCUCUCCGACGAUCAAGUCAGUUGUUGGAGCUUUGAAAUAAAGGUAGGAAUUUUAUAAUUAAUUUUUCUCAUACCUGUUUGCUUGAUCAGACUUGUAUUUAUAGCUGGUUCAGUCUGUUGCAACUUGUUGGGAUUCUAGGAGAAUUGUAAAGAUUCGAGGAUAUUCUUCCUACUGAUCCGAGCUUUGAAUUUAAACUUUCUUUAUAUGCUUGUCAUCUUUCAUUUAAUUUCAAACUUUUCAAUCCAUCCGGUCUGUUUAGCCACUCCGUUUGUUGAGCAACCUUGAUACAAAUUAUCCCCAUCAUGUUGAUUGUCCACCAGUGAAACACUGUUAGAAUCUUUUAUAUCUUGGGUGUUUAGAGACUGGUUAAAUGGGGAGCUAAAUUGUGUUUGUUGCUAUGUAACUAAAUGUGGAUCUUUUUAUGUAUUCUAAUUUGAGUAGUUGUGUGUUGACUUUAA